rnacentral:rRNA from 1 species
AUCGGCGGUCAUAGCGAAGAGGAUCCACCCGUUCCCAUUCCGAACACGGUAGUUAAGGUUCUUACGCUGAUGGUACUGGUGAAAGCUGGGAGAGUAAGUUACUGCCGGGA